UUCAGGAAAGUUCCAUGUAAUUAAGUGCUGGAAACAUAAACUUCAAACGGGAAAUUUUGUCGCGUGUUAUGAUGCUCAAAAUCACCAGUGAGCUGUAAAUGUUCAGAGCUAUCAGUGAGCCACAGAUAACAUAGCGCUGGCUUCCUCAUUCAAAAGAGAGAAGAUGAUUUGAACGAUUGCUUCAAGGUAAACAUUCCAACAGAACCCUCAUUAAUUCGCUUGAAACACAUUUGGAGUAUGUGAGGAUUGAGGAAAGAUCAAAACCAAAGCUCAGUCUGUUACAUGAACCUAUCUGGUGGGACUCUGUGAAGACAGAAACCUGCAGAUGGGGCCACACACAGACACAGUGGCGACAGCCUGGGAGGAACAGGACCUUACAGCUGGACCACUUGUCAAGGUGUGUCAAGGUGUGACAGCUUCCCAGCAUGUCUGCAUCACCUGUCUGUGUGUCCUGUGGACUAAGCAGUUGACUGUCCAAGGGUUUUUAACAGAUUCCAUGAUGCCUGUUGGGCUGGUCCGACCUUUCCUGGGUGUACAAUGAUCAUGCAGCAACACAGAAUCGAGGGGCUUUUUGUAGACUGUCACCUGCCCCCCUUUGUUGCUUUUUCCUUUUUCUAAACCCCAGGAGCAGAGCAGAUUCUGGCAUCUAAAGUUAGCUCUUGAUGGUAUGAGCCCGAGGCAGACACAGUUCUUUCACUGGUCUCUAGCCAAUUAACAUACAGAAGAAACAGCCUGGCCAAAAGGUUUUAGGAGAGUAUUGUCACUCCCCUCGGCUUGCUGUGCGGUCUCUCACUUCUGAAUUCUAAUCAUCCUCUUCUUUGACUGUAGAAUGUAACGUAAAGGUGUGCAAAGCCAAAAUGCCAAUCACCCCAAAAACAGUCCCAGUGUGUGGCCUCCACUGGACUCCCAGGACACACUCCCUCUCCCACUCACUCCAAGAAGUGACCACAUCUUUCAUUUUGAAAUAAUCAUUGUGUUGCUUUCCUUUCAGACUUACCACUGAAAUCUUGUAAAACCUUGUUCCACUCUCCCUCAGCUUCCUGGUUAUCAAAUACGCCAUGCUGCUUGAUGGUCCACUCCUUUUCAUUGUGGCAAAAUGCUGUACUGUAUGAUUACAAUAAGUUGUCUUCGCCUCACCUGCUAAUGAAUGGGCUUUGAGGCUUUUUCAGCAUUUGGGUAAUUGGAAGUAGCAAUGCCACAAAUAUUCAUCUGUUGCCAGGCACAUUUCUGAAUUUCUCUUUGCAUGGUUUUCCAGAGUGGCUGUGCUAACGUAUUAUCACACAGCAUGUACAAAAGUCCUGGGUAUUUGUACCACAGCUAGCACUCAAUACUUCUGGCAAUUUAAGUAUCAGACUAUGCAUGCUGAUAGGUUUUUGUUGUUGUUUAAAGCUUUGUAGAUGGGACAUAGUUGAGAAAUUAGUGUAUCAAACACAUGAACUAUUUUUUAACUCACAAAGAGCCAAAUGUACAAAUCAACAGGGAUACCAGGUUGAAAUUGUAUUAUAACUAAGCAAUUACGCUCUAUGAGGUGUGUCCAAACACAGAUGUGAAUAUGGCCCAACACAAAAUAAUAAACUUACUUUGGAAAUCA